UACGAAGGGGCUAGCGUUGCUCGGAAUCACUGGGCGUAAAGGGUGCGUAGGCGGGUCUUAAGUCAGGGGUGAAAUCCUGGAGCUCAACUCCAGAACUGCCUUUGAUACUGAAGAUCUUGAGUUCGGGAGAGGUGAGUGGAACUGCGAGUGUAGAGGUGAAAAUUCGUAGAUAUUCGCAAGAACACCAGUGGCGAAGGCGGCUCACUGGCCCGAUACUGACGCUGAGGCACGAAAGCGUGGG
rnacentral:rRNA from 1 species